GACUGAUUGUUGACUUGAAAGGCUACCUUGUCCUUGAGAUGUUUUACAUGAUAUGGCUUUGUGUUGCUAUUGCGGCGACAGUUGUCAUCUACGUGGUGGACAGUGAAAGGGGAGGCUACUUGAUGAAGUCACCAGCUCAGAAGUUGGCUGCUGAGAAAGAGGGACAAAUAAAUGUUGGAGUGAAGAUAUCCGAAGGAGGGCAGGAUGUGGAGUGAGGGUUGUCAGAGGUCCAGCCUUGUGAUGGACUGUAAUGGUUGCCUUGAUAUCCACUGUGGUAAUGUGGUUGACGGAUUCAGCUUCAAGAGGAGUGCUUAAUCUAACUGUUGCUGAGCGGCGGAACAGAGAGUCGGACAGGGAGUAUGUGCUUUUUUGU